rnacentral:rRNA from 1 species
UAAUACGAAGGGUGCAAGCGUUAGUCGGAAUUACUGGGCGUAAAGCGUGCGUAGGCGGUUUGUUAAGUCGGAUGUGAAAGCCCCGGGCUCAACCUGGGAAUGGCACUCGAUACUGGCAAGCUGGAGUACGGUAGAGGAUGGUGGAAUUCCCGGUGUAGCGGUGAAAUGCGUAGAGAUCGGGAGGAACAUCUGUGGCGAAGGCGGCCAUCUGGACCAGUACUGACGCUGAGGCACGAAAGCGUGGGGAGCAAACAGGAUUAGAUACCCUGGUAGUCCACGCCCUAAACGAUGCGGACUGGACGUUGGGUUCAAUUUGGAACUCAGUGUCGAAGCUAACGCGUUAAGUCCGCCGCCUGGGGAGUACGCUCGCAAGAGUG